CCUCAUGAACAAUCAAAUGGCUACAAUCAAAUCCAAAACUCUGCAAAGGAAGCCAAAAUAUAAAGGAACAGAUGGGCUUUGUCUGUCAGAGGGGCCCCUCCCUACAGCUAAAACAUUUAAACUCUCCAUUCCCCCUGUGGCUUGUAAAUCCAAGUUUGUCAUCCCUAAGAGAAAGACCCUUCAACUAUAGUCUAAUUCUGUUAUCAUUUGAGACUUUCUCUUUUCACUUCACUUGACUCUUCCCACCACUGCAAAAAGGCCAGGGUCAAUUCCUUCCCUCCAUUCAUGAUUCAAGAAGCUGCUUUAAUUUCUGCCAGGUACACACACCCCUGGGAAGCCAGUAAUACAUCUAAGGAGCUCUGCCAUGGAAAGAAUGUUACCCUCCAUUCAGCCCAGCUCCUCAUCCUCUCCCAACACGGUAAGAGGCUGGGGAAGGAAGACGAGCAGGGGGACAGCAUGGAAAGUUCUCUGGGGGUAUUGCACGCUUACGCUGAAGAAACUGUGACCACUC